UUGAGCAACUCCUCACGCGGGAACAGGCCUGCCUCAGCCCACACGGCAUACAGAAUCGGCGCCGCAUGCCCUUUUGACAGUACGAACCGAUCGUUGUGGGGAUGCUGCGGAUUCUUCGCGUCGUAGCGCAUCUCACUGAAAAACAGCGUGGCGACAAUCUCCGCCGCCGACAUGCACGUGGUUGGAUGGCCGCUUCCGGCCUCGGUCGUCGAUCGCACGCAGUCGAUGCGGAGCUGAGUGGCGACGUUGUGAAGCGCUGCAGAGGUUGAUGUGGCGG
rnacentral:misc_RNA from 1 species